rnacentral:rRNA from 1 species
CCUGGUGGUUCUAGCGGGGUGGCCCCACCCGUUCCCAUCCCGAACACGGUAGUGAAACGCUCCAGCGCCGACGAUACUGCUUUGGAAACGGAGUGGGAAAAUAGGUCACCGCCGGGA